CCUACGGGAGGCAGCAGUAGGGAAUCUUCCGCAAUGGACGAAAGUCUGACGGAGCAACGCCGCGUGAACGAUGAAGGCCUUCGGGUCGUAAAGUUCUGUUGUUAGGGAAGAACAAGUGCUAGUUAAAUAAGCUGGCACCUUGACGGUACCUAACCAGAAAGCCACGGCUAACUACGUGCCAGCAGCCGCGGUAAUACGUAGGUGGCAAGCGUUGUCCGGAAUUAUUGGGCGUAAAGCGCGCGCAGGCGGUUUCUUAAGUCUGAUGUGAAAGCCCCCGGCUCAACCGGGGAGGGUCAUUGGAAACUGGGAAACUUGAGUGCAGAAGAGGAAAGUGGAAUUCCAAGUGUAGCGGUGAAAUGCGUAGAGAUUUGGAGGAACACCAGUGGCGAAGGCGACUUUCUGGUCUGUAACUGACGCUGAGGCGCGAAAGCGUGGGGAGCAAACAGGAUUAGAUACCCUGGUAGUCCACGCUGUAAACGAUGAGUGCUAAGUGUUAGAGGGUUUCCGCCCUUUAGUGCUGAAGUUAACGCAUUAAGCACUCCGCCUGGGGAGUCGGUCGCAAGACUGAAACUUAAGGAAUUGACGG
rnacentral:rRNA from 1 species